rnacentral:rRNA from 1 species
UACAGAGGGGGCAAGCGUUAUUCGGAAUUAUUGGGCGUAAAGGGCGCGUAGGCGGCCUGGCAAGUGGAUGGUGAAAUCCCUCGGCUUAACCGAGGAACUGCCAUCCAGACUGCUUGGCUUGAGACCGGGAGAGGUGAGUGGAAUUCCCAGUGUAGCGGUGAAAUGCGUAGAGAUUUGGAGGAACACCAGUGGCGAAGGCGACUAUCUGGUCUGUAACUGACACUGAGGCGCGAAAGCGUGGGGAGCAAACAGG